rnacentral:rRNA from 1 species
AGAUGGCUCUGGCUAUCACUCUGGGAUGGACCUGCGGUGCAUUAGCUAGUUGGUAAGGUAACGGCUUACCAAGGCGAUGAUGCAUAGCCGAGUUGAGAGACUGAUCGGCCACAACGGAACUGAGACACGGUCCAUACUCCUACGGGAGGCAGCAGUAGGGAAUCUUCCACAAUGGGCGCAAGCCUGAUGGAGCAACACCGCGUGAGUGAAGAAGGGUUUCGGCUCGUAAAGCUCUGUUGUUGGAGAAGAACGUGCGUGAGAGUAACUGUUCACGCAGUGACGGUAUCCAACCAGAAAGUCACGGCUAACUACGUGCCAGCAGCCGCGGUAAUACGUAGGUGGCAAGCGUUAUCCGGAUUUAUUGGGCGUAAAGCGAGCGCAGGCGGUUGCUUAGGUCUGAUGUGAAAGCCUUCGGCUUAACCGAAGAAGUGCAUCGGAAACCGGGCGACUUGAGUGCAGAAGAGGACAGUGGAACUCCAUGUGUAGCGGUGGAAUGCGUAGAUAUAUGGAAGAACACCAGUGGCGAAGGCGGCUGUCUGGUCUGCAACUGACGCUGAGGCUCGAAAGCAUGGGUAGCGAACAGGAUUAGAUACCCUGGUAGUCCAUGCCGUAAACGAUGAGUGCUAGGUGUUGGAGGGUUUCCGCCCUUCA